rnacentral:rRNA from 1 species
UACAGAGGGGGCAAGCGUUGUUCGGAAUUACUGGGCGUAAAGGGCGCGUAGGCGGCCUGCUAAGUCGAACGUGAAAUCCCUGGGCUCAACCCAGGAACUGCGUCCGAUACUGGUUGGCUUGAAUCCGGGAGAGGGACGUGGAAUUCCAGGUGAUAGCGGUGAAAUGCGUAGAUAUCUGGAGGAACACCGGUGGCGAAGGCGACGUCCUGGACCGGCAUUGACGCUGAGCGCGAAAGCCAGGGGAGCAAACGGGG